rnacentral:rRNA from 1 species
CCUACGGGAGGCAGCAGUGGGGAAUAUUGCGCAAUGGGCGAAAGCCUGACGCAGCGACGCCGCGUGAGGGAUGAAGGUCUUCGGAUCGUAAACCUCUGUCAGCAGGGAAGAACGGUCACUGUGCUAAUCAGCAGUGAAUUGACGGUACCUGCAAAGGAAGCACCGGCUAACUCCGUGCCAGCAGCCGCGGUAAUACGGAGGGUGCGAGCGUUAAUCGGAAUUACUGGGCGUAAAGCGCUCGUAGGCGGUAUGUCAAGUCAAGGGUGAAAUCCCCGCGCUCAACGUGGGAACUGCCUUUGAAACUGGCAAACUGGAGUGUGUGAGAGGAUAGUGGAAUUGCAGGUGUAGGAGUGAAAUGCGUAGAUAUCUGGAGGAACAUCAGUGGCGAAGGCGACUAUCUGGCACAUAACUGACGCUGAGGAGCGAAAGCGUGGGUAGCAAACAGGAUUAGAUACCCUUGUAGUC